UCUUAAAUGGCUGUUGGUAUAAUUUUUUAGUGUUUUUCAUGUGUAAAAAACGUUAUCUUACCGGAGUUGAUUGUCCUUUUAAAGCUUUUUUAGAAUUAAACGUUCCUAUACGUUAAAUAAAGUAGAUUCAACACCCGCCCAAAUGAUGUCUAAUGUCGCUGGAAUCUCACAAUCCCGGGACGUCGCUUGCAAACGGAAUCGUCAUCACCCGUGCCUGAUCCACAAAUUCCAGUUCAUUAAAAGCCAAAAGCAACCGUCCCAGCCAGAAAGAAAAGAAUAAUCGUGUACCCGGAAGAUUCGGAUGAUUCCGAUUUUCAAUAGGAAGCUUUUUAUUUCUGGUGAGACUCUCGGACCGGCCACGGAUUUGACGACUCGCAAAAUCUCCAAUGUUUGCAGUACGUCAGCUGAAUUAAACAGUAAGGCCAUAAAAACUGGAGCAAACUUGGUCUAGUUGAAAACCGAAAUCACUCGAGGAUUUAGGACUCCUAAUAACUACGGAGUUGUUAGUAUGGAUGCACAAGAGAUAUUCGAGAAACAACGUUUUACAGAAAAACUGAUGCUAAGGCUGUACAGUUUUGUUUCAGGAUGGUUGAAAUAAGGUUUGCUGCUAACAGUACACAACAGAUUUAUUGAUGUAUGCAAUGUGGAUUAUUAACUGGUAAUGGAUUAACGAAUUUGACUCCGUAAAAAAAUUUAACUGAUCAAGGUUUCAAGGCAAUCCGGUCAUGGAGAUCAAGCUACGAAAAUUGUUAGCGACGGGUUUCGAGGCGACUAUCCUAUCUACAUCGUAUAUUGCCACCUGGCUAUUUAAACAGAUAUGGAGCAGCUAUUCAGAAGUUUUGAAAUUAACAGGAGAGGAAAAUGGAGAAUGAAAGUACUUGAAGAUGCAGAGUUAUGUUGCAAGCAAGAUUUAGUCAUGAGGUUAAAGGCUGCUGGAUGAAGAAAACUACAUAUUGGUGUUGAAAGCUUUUGUCAUGCUGUACUUCACAUGUCAAGAGUUUAAAGAUUUUGAACGCAAGGUGCGUUGCGAAGACGAUUAAGUGAUAAAGGAUAAAUAGCUAAAUGAUGAUGUAAGUGCUUUGUGAUGCUGGUCAACUUCUUUAGGGAUGGAGCCGUUAGUGGACGAUUGCACAUCGUGACAAAGUACUUAAAGAUGCUGGAAGCAAUUUGUGGACACCACUGUGUGGAAGCCAUUUGAAUAAGGUUCCAAAUCGUGUGGCAGCCAUUUGUAGACUAUUUUACAUAAUGAUAAAAGUCCUUUAGAUGCUGGAAGUAAUUUGUGGGCUGCUUAACAUUUUGACCUGUUGCUGGAAUCCUACAUCGCGACCAGUAUUGGAAGCCAUUUGUGGAAAACUUCACAUCCAUGACGUGUAUUUAUAUAAGCUAGAAACCCUUUGUGAAUGAUUAAACAAUGUAAAAAGUAUUGCUGCUAGAAGCUGUUUUAGUUGCAUUAACUUUGAUGGCCUGUUGAGAUUGAACUGAAGUUAAUUUCAAAUUUCAUCAGUAUAAGGAAUAUGUAAAAUUUUAUGUUAUUGCCAAAUUAAGCUAUUGUGAAUAUGUACAGUAAAUUGAAAUAA